rnacentral:rRNA from 1 species
UAGGGAAUCUUCCACAAUGGACGCAAGUCUGAUGGAGCAACGCCGCGUGAGUGAAGAAGGUUUUCGGAUCGUAAAGCUCUGUUGUUGGUGAAGAAGGAUAGAGGUAGUAACUGGCCUUUAUUUGACGGUAAUCAACCAGAAAGUCACGGCUAACUACGUGCCAGCAGCCGCGGUAAUACGUAGGUGGCAAGCGUUGUCCGGAUUUAUUGGGCGUAAAGCGAGCGCAGGCGGAAGAAUAAGUCUGAUGUGAAAGCCCUCGGCUUAACCGAGUAACUGCAUCGGAAACUGUUUUUCUUGAGUGCAGAAGAGGAGAGUGGAAUUCCAUGUGUAGCGGUGGAAUGCGUAGAUAUAUGGAAGAACACGAGUGGCGAAGGCGACUCUCUGGUCUGCAACUGACGCUGAGGCUCGAAAGCAUGGGUAGCGAACAGG